rnacentral:rRNA from 17 species
CUUUAUUGGAGAGUUUGAUCCUGGCUCAGGAUGAACGCUGGCGGCGUGCCUAAUACAUGCAAGUCGAGCGAA